rnacentral:rRNA from 1 species
AGUGAACGCUGGCGGUAGGCCUAACACAUGCAAGUCGAACGGCAGCACAGUAAGAGCUUGCUCUUACGGGUGGCGAGUGGCGGACGGGUGAGGAAUACAUCGGAAUCUACUUUUUCGUGGGGGAUAACGUAGGGAAACUUACGCUAAUACCGCAUACGACCUACGGGUGAAAGCAGGGGAUCUUCGGACCUUGCGCGAUUGAAUGAGCCGAUGUCGGAUUAGCUAGUUGGCGGGGUAAAGGCCCACCAAGGCGACGAUCCGUAGCUGGUCUGAGAGGAUGAGCAGCCACACGGGAACUGAGACACGGUCCAGACUCCUACGGGAGGCAGCAGUGGGGAAUAUUGGACAAUGGGCGCAAGCCUGAUCCAGCCAUACCGCGUGGGUGAAGAAGGCCUUCGGGUUGUAAAGCCCUUUUGUUGGGAAAGAAAAGCAGCAGGUUAAUACCCCGCUGUUCUGACGGUACCCAAAGAAUAAGCACCGGCUAACUUCGUG